UUUACAUGAUAACGCUUUAUAAGGCAAAUAAAAUAGAACAAAAUUGUGUCGUUUGAUCAGUCGCACUGUAACCAUGAAGCGAUUAGUAAUAUUACUUCUUAUGGUUCAUAUAGUAUUGUCAUAUCCUCAGCUUAGUGACGAAUCUAUUGAUAAACAAUAUGAAGAAUAUUUGAAAACGCAAGGGUUUUAUGAACCUGAGAAGAAAGUCGACCAACGUUUUAUAGUAAAUGCGCAAUCAUGUCCAUCCGGGAGUGUAAGAGCUUGGUGGGGGCAUUGCAUCACUUGGGAAGCAUACCAGAGGAUUUUCGAAUAAGCUGAAAAAGACUGCUAAGAACAGAAGAGUCGAGUUAAAAUAGACCCAAGUUUUGAUAGCAAAAGUACAUUGUACCUAUUCCUUUGAAGAAUAAUAAAUAUAUUAAAGUAU